rnacentral:lncRNA from 1 species
AUGGAGACCCCCCAAGUCCCUGUCAGGAGUGGAGCAGACCUCAGUGAUGUGUGUGGGUGUCUAAGCAGGAGCCAGAAGGUGCUUCUGAAGGAGAGAAAACGCGGCAGGAGCAGAGGCCGGAAGCCUGGCUUCUCCCUGAACGUCGGCGCUCAGCUGGCGCUGGAGACGGUCUUGAGUCGGGCAGGCUUGUCUCAGUUCAGCCCCGUCUUCGUCCUUCACCUGCGUUCAAUCGCCUUGUCUCCAUCCUGUUCUUCCCAGCUCAUUCUUUUGUCUCUUGUUUUGAAAAUAUUUCCUAAUUAUAACUCCGUAAGAUUAUUUUUCAAACCAACUGCAAAACCACCUGUGUCAUAUUCAGUUCUUUGCACGUCACGCAGGUCCAGCUCGAGGGGUUGGCAGGGCCGUGCGGCCCCUGAAGGCCUUUUCCUGCCUCUUCCAGCUUCUGGUGGGGACUGCAGGCCCUGGGUGUCCCUUGGCUGGGGGAGCCUCCCGCCAGCCUCUGCCUUCAUUUUCCCUGGGGCCCCCCUCUGUGUGUGUGGGGUGUGUGUGUGUGGGUGUGGGGUGUGGGUGUGGGUGGGUGUGAGUGGGUGUGGAUGUGAGUGGGUGUGGAUGUGAGUGGGUGUUUGGGGAGUGUAGGGGUGUGUGUGUGUGUGGGUGUGGGUGUGGCUGUGUGUGGGUGUCUGUGGGUGUGUGUGGGUGUGGGUGUGGGUGGGUGUGGGUGUGAGUGGGUGUGUGGGGGGUGUGGGGGUGUGUGUGGAUGUGUGUGUGUGUGUUUAGGAGUGUAUGUGUAGGUGUGUGUGGGUGUGUGUGGGUGUGGGGAUGUGUGUGUGUGUGUGGCUGUGUGUGGGUGUGGGUGGGUGUAAGUGUGGGGGUGUGCAUAUGUAUGUGUGUGAAUGGGUGUAUGUCGGGGUGUGGAUGUGUGUGGCUGUGUAUGUUGUGUGUGGGUGUGUGUGUGUAUGUGUGUGAAUGGGUGUGUGGGUGUGGGGGGUGUGUAUGAGUGUGAAUGUGUGUGUGUGUGUGUGUGGGUGGGUGUGGGUGUGAAUGGGUGUGUGGGUGUGGGGGGUGUGUAUGAGUGUGAAUGUGUGUGUGUGGGUGGGUCUGUGUGUGGGUGUGGGUGGGUGUGAGUGGGUGUGGGUGUGAGUGGGUGUGGGUGGUGAGUGUGUGUGUGUUUGGGAGUGUAUGUGUAGGUGUGUGUAGGUAUGUGUGGGUGUGUGUGGUGUGUGUCAGUGUGGGGAUGUGUGUGUGUGUGUGUGUGUGUGGCUGUGUGUGGGUGUGGGUGGGAGUGUGGGAGUGUGUGUAUGUAUGAGUGUGAAUGGGUGUGUGUGGGUGUGUGUGGCUGUGUAUGGGUGUGUGUGGUGUGUGUGUAUGUUUGUGAAUGGGUGUGUGUG